rnacentral:tRNA from 2 species
AAGAGAUUAAGUAAGAAAGUAGCUGCUAACUAACUUUCUAAGCGGUUAAAUUCCGUUUAUCUCUUA